AGGGCUGUGCAUAACCUGCCUUGGGCCCGAUCUGUCCGUAAUAUAUCCAAUAUGGUCCACCCGAAUAAAGUCAGUUUCAUCGGGUCAAACUCAAAUACAAGUUUAAACACCACAUUAUCGGUCAAAACCGAUCACCGAAAACACCCCAGCUCUCUAGUCUCUUCUCGUCAAACCCUAUCCAUCGACUCCAUUCCUCCCCUCUGUUAGACAUCGUCAUUUUUAUUCGCCGUUGACCUUCCAUUGCUGCUCCCAUCUGUUGCUGCUCCACCUUGCAUCCAGAUCUGCAGGCUCUCACAGCGUUACUGGAAUCUCCAAGGCUUGCUCUUUCAACAGUGUUACUGGAAUCUCCUUUGUUUCUCUCACCUGCAAAGUUCCUAGAUCUACCAACCUGCCUCAUUAUUCUACCCUUUUUUCUUUACCGUCAAAACAAGGAAAUGAAAAAAGAAACCCCAACAGUAAUGAUCAUAUAAACCAAAGAACCCGUCAACUUGAUAGACUUGCCAACAGAUGGAGUACUUGAUAGACUUGAACGUGUCAAAAGCAGAGUAAAGAACGAGUUCGACCCGACCCAUAAUUUUUGGGUUGGGUCGAUCCGCAUUCACAAUGCUUUUCCUGCAGGUCGGGUCUGAUUGGACCAAAAUCUGGGCAGGCCGGGUUGCUGUGCAGGCCUAGGUAGAUCUUUAUAUUACAAUACAAAGACAUUUAGGGAAUUUCAUUAGGGAAGGUCAUGAGAGAUUCUGAUGUAAAGAAAGAACCUAGUUGUAGCAAUCGAGGUCAACGGUAUUGUUCAUGAGUUUCUGGCAAGUGAUAGUUCUCAUCCUUUAUCCUUGGAGAUCUACUAUAAGUUGGAUGAGGUUGCAGCAAGAUUGAAAUCAAUUGGUUACAUACCAAACAAGUCUUACCUCCUGCAACUUGUUGAAGAAGAAGACAUCAAGGAGCAGGCCCUAAACCUUCACAGUGAGAAGUUAGCAAUUGACUUUGGGCUUAUUACUAUGGUCUCAUCUCAACCAUUCAGGUUGUGAAGAAUCUCUGUAUUUGUGGGGACUGCCACUCAGUUGUUCAGCUCAUAUCUAGGCUUUACAGUAGAGAGAUUUUUAUGAGAGAUCAUUAUCGAUUUCAUUUCACCAUUUUAGAGAAGGGUAUUGCUCAUGUAUGGAUUAUUGGUGAAUAUGGAAAGCAUUUGUUGUGAUCAUUACUUCAUCUAGGGCUGUACAGAAAAUCAAAAAAUCAGCCGAAACUGAUCAGACCGGCCCUUGGAGCAAGGAACCGGCCAAAACCAUCAAGAACCGGUCAACCGGCGAUAGGAUUUAAGUCAAAUUGAUGUCAGGCGGUUCGGUUGGCGGUCCGACCCAGGGAAAAACUGCCGAACCGGCCGACAUCAACUAUAUAUAUUUUUUUCAAGUACAUGGAAAUGUAACGACGUGUCGUUUCACUUAAGUGAAAUGGCGUCAUUUUAAGUGAAGUGAAACGGUGUCAUUUUGAUGACGCAGGAUACCAAAAAAAAAAUACAACGGCCUCACUAAACGACAUUGUUUAGUUUAGGGUUAGCCUUCGAAGAAAAA